rnacentral:rRNA from 1 species
UACGUAGGGUGCAAGCGUUGUCCGGAAUUAUUGGGCGUAAAGCGCACGUAGGCGGAUAUUUAAGUCAGGGGUGAAAUCCCAGAGCUCAACUCUGGAACUGCCUUUGAUACUGGGUAUCUUGAGUAUGGAAGAGGUGAGUGGAAUUCCGAGUGUAGAGGUGAAAUUCGUAGAUAUUCGGAGGAACACCAGUGGCGAAGGCGGCUCACUGGCUCGUAACUGACGCUCAUGCACGACAGCGUGGGGAUCAAACAGG